CCCGGGCCCUGUGCACCCCAGGGGCCCUGACUGCUUCAGUAAUUGAGCCAGAGAUCAGGGCCUAAUACAAGAGUGGGUGCGAGGGUCAGACUAGGGAUGUAAAAUGACAUUUAAUCAAUUAACCAGUUAAACAUUAGGCUAAGUGGGAUCGUGGGUGGGGGGACCACUCCAGCCUAACCGGAGCAGCCCCUAACCCGCGGGGCUCCCGCUCCCGGCCGUGCGCAUAUUUGUUGGCUCCCAGCCCCACAUGGGGCCCAGAGCGGCUGGGGGAACCCCCCUCUGCCAGCAGCAGGCUGCCAAUGGGGACUGGUCCUGGGCACCAGAGUGCCAAGUAUAUGACAGAUGAGUUUUACAGACAUGGAUGAAGACAAGUCUUGAGAAGAAGUAACUUUGCUAUUCUAUGAUGGAUAUUGCUGGAUCCUAAAAGUUUUUGCUUAAAGUUUGCAAAAUCACUGCUUUAUAGAUGUGGUCCAUAUGCAGGAUUUCCAGAGGUGAAAAGACUAUGGGGACCGAUGAUUUAUUUUUGUGUUUAACAAAACACCAAAAGCAUCAUACAGUUUUUUAAUGUUAUAAAGCAAUGUGUUGCCUACAUGUGAAAGAUCUGUGUUAAAUUUAUUGCACUUAAUAUCUACAUAUAGCACAUUAUAGAUUAUGAAGGGAAGGUGCGAGAAGAAAAAAUAUUAAUAAAAAUAGACUUUUUAUGUUUUACCUCAUCCUCCCCUCCAAAAAAUAGGUUUGUUUGACAUCAGGAAUCAAAAGGAAUUUCAAGACACACUGUAAGGGUUCCCCACCUUCUAGAAAUCUGGGAGGCACUUGG